CAAGCCUUGGCAGCCUGACGCCAUCUUCCUCCCAGCCAGGAAUGGGCCCGCCUACUCACAACGCUCUUCCCAGGCAGAUACUAUCAGGAGGUACCACCCACGUAGGACUACUUGAAUCCAAAUAGUGUGCAGUUUUUCACAUCAUGCAGGAAGAGAGAAAUUUGGACACAGACAUACACGAAGAGAAGAUGGCCACGUGAAGGUGGAGGCAGAGAAUGAAAUUCUGCAUCUACAAGCCAAGGAACAUCAAGGAUUCUGGGAACCACAAGAAGCCAGAAGAGACAAGGAAGGAUUCUUCCCUCGAGGCUUUAGAGAGAGAGAGAGACAGAGAGACAGAGAGAGAGAGAGAGAGAGAGAGAGAGAGAGAAUGGGCCUGCUGACGCUCUGGUUUCAGAUUUCUAGCCUUCCAGAACUGUGAGAGAAUAAAUUUCUGUUAUUUUAAGCCA